rnacentral:rRNA from 1 species
GACCUGGUUGGGCGGUCCGCUUAACGGCGUGUACUGCUUGACUGGGCCUUACCUCUUGGUGAGCCGUAAUGCCAUUAAUUUGGUGUUGCGGGGAAUUUGGACUGUUACUUUGAAAAAAUUAGAGUGUUUAAAGCAAGCUAACGCUUGAAUACAUUAGCAUGGAAUAAUGAAAUAGGACGUUCAAUCCUAUUUUGUUGGUUUCUAGGAUUGACGUA